AUUGAACGCUGGCGGCAUGCUUUACACAUGCAAGUCGAACGGUAACAGGUUAAGCUGACGAGUGGCGAACGGGUGAGUAAUGCAUCGGAACGUGCCCGGUCGUGGGGGAUAACGCAGCGAAAGCUGCGCUAAUACCGCAUACGAUCUGAGGAUGAAAGCGGGGGACCGUAAGGCCUCGCGCGAUCGGAGCGGCCGAUGUCAGAUUAGGUAGUUGGUGGGGUAAAGGCUCACCAAGCCGACGAUCUGUAGCUGGUCUGAGAGGACGACCAGCCACACUGGGACUGAGACACGGCCCAGACUCCUACGGGAGGCAGCAGUGGGGAAUUUUGGACAAUGGGCGCAAGCCUGAUCCAGCAAUGCCGCGUGUGUGAAGAAGGCCUGCGGGUUGUAAAGCACUUUCAGUGGGGAAGAACGGAUACGGGCCAAUACCCCGCAUCACUGACGUUACCCACAGAAGAAGCACCGGCUAACUCCGUGCCAGCAGCCGCGGUAAU
rnacentral:rRNA from 1 species